GCGGUGGAGGAGUAGGCAGGGUGUGAUGCCCGCGGUUUCGGUUGGCUUAGUCUCCUGCGCGGUCCCACGAGAGGCUCUGGGAAGGGGAAGGGAAAGCACGUAACCUGCUGCGCUAACGACCAUCCGUCCCUCACUACCUCGGCCCUGACCUCCCUCCCGGUCUCUCGCCAGCGCCACUGGGUGGGGCCUGUCGGGGGCCGCCUGGCCCACCUUCAGUAGUCAAGCCGGGAGUGGAUACGUGCUCAUCCCCGGGGAAGCCCAGAGGACGGGACGAGCCACGGGCAGAAGAGGUUUCUGCAGAAGCUCGGACACCCGAGCCUCUGCCGAAAUAUUGAACCCAACCAGUCACAUCAAGCAUUUAUUAAGCACCUACUGUGUUAGGCAGAGAGCACCGUAGAACUGAAGGUGAAAAGAAACUUAGAUCUCAAAUCAGUAAGCAGGAAGUACCAAGUGACCACUUCAAACAAUUGCAGAUUCCUGAAGGACAAGGACGGCAAGCAUCUUGCUCUCAGUUGUUUCCCCACAACCUAAGAUAAAAAAUACCACGUAAUUGAAGAAGUGUGAAAUACAGCAUUUGUAUGGCAGAAAAAGGCUGUAUGUGUGUCAAAGGUCUGCAAGCAUUCUACGUAGCUUUGCCCCAUCCUUCCAGUUUGUAGUUACCCUCAGUACAACUAUUGAGUAUCUUGUCAACAUCCAAUCUCUAUAUAUGCUCAUCCUCGUGGAACUAAGUUGCAGUGAGUAUUACUACAUCUUAAAGAAGGAUCCAGUUAUUUGCAACUGAUUAAAUGAGAUAUAACCUAAGUACAAAAUGUAAAGAACAAAUGUGUGGGGUUACUUUUGUUGUAAAUGAAGAAAUCCAACACAGCUGGAUUUUUAU